AGUAGAGACAGGGUUUCACUACGUUGGCCAGGCUGGUCUUGAACUCCUGACUUUGUGAUCCGCCCGCCUCAGCCUCCCAAAGUGCUGGGAUUACAGGCUUGAGCCACCGCGCCCAGCCUUACCCAGCCCCAGAUUUCUAUAAGCUUUACUCCUAUUUAAUGUUCCUAUUGUGCUGCAGUAAUAUGGCUAUAUUGGCUGUGAGUUAAAUAUCCUCAUCCUGUCCCUAGAAAAACAGAAGCAACUCAUAACCUCCCUGGUAUCCUAUCUAUUCCCUCUGGAGAUUUUCAUUACAGUAAGUAUUCUCCCCCUGUUUCAAUAAGGUCAGAAAAAAGAAACCUGGAUUUACCUCUGUGUUGUGAAUUUCUAGUGUUGUUUUCUUAUAAUGAUUCAUGUUCUCCACGCCUAGAUUGGUCACUGUGAGGAAGCCAAAUCGGAUCCGAGAGUCUUUUUCUAAAGGCCAGUACUGGCCACACUUUCUCCUGCCGCCUUCUUCAAAGCUGAAGACACACAGAGCAAGGCUCUUCUGUUUUACUCCCCAAUGGUAACUCCAAACCAUAGAUGUUAGCUCCUUGCUCAUCUUUCCACAUCCCUGCUAUUCAGUGUGGUCCGUGGACAAAUCACACCAGCAUCGUAUGGGAGAGUGUAAGAAACAUGAAUCUGCAUGUUAACAAGAUCCCCAGCAGCCCAAACAGACUAAGGUAGCCGUGUUCAACAGAAACUGGGACUAACAGCUUUAAAAUUCCAGAAGCAAAUCAAGUGAACAAGUCACUAAAAAGCCUGAAUCCUCCAAUUAACAAGGUAUUGUAUACUUGAAAAUUGCGGACAGCAGAUUUUAAGUGUUUUCACCACAAAACAAGGUAAA